UAGAUCACAUCUACUUCUAAUCUGAGUACAGAACUCGAUACUUGAGUGUGGAGUGAUGAUCAUCGCUACUAAGAGAUAUGAUGAAGGAGAUCCUUGCUGGUUGCUUGCAGCUGCAUAUGCAUCCGGCCUUUACGAAAAAUCCACUCGAAGCCCUGAUCUGAUUGAUCUUCUCAGGAAUGCUAGCUCCUGUGAAGACCUACUUCUUGGCUGAUCU
rnacentral:lncRNA from 1 species